CUCUCCUAAUAUACCACAGGAACAUGAAGAUCCCUUUGUGCCAUGGGCUUCCUCUCCUGUUUAAACAAGUUGGUCUCACAGAUAGUUAAAAAGUAGGUUGCAAAUAAUAUUACCUGUAAAGUGUACUGCUACCGGAUUGCAGACUAAUCAGUUUAGUCCCCUUCGCUCUGUGUGUGUGUGUGUGUACAGCUACUUAUGUGUGUAGAGAGAAAGGUUCGUUCUAAUGGGGGAAAAUCCUCAGGAGUCUUGAGGUCAGCCUUCUGACCUUCCUUAAAGCAGCCAUGUGACCCAGGGAAGAUCAUUUCACCUCUCUGGGCUUCUGUUUAUCUUUAAAAAGAGGGGGGCCAUCAGCUGUCCGAGGUCUCUUCUAACCCUAACAUUCUUGGACUCAAUUUGUGAAAUAGAAGACCUGUUUGAUCCUGACCCAGAGGCAGAUGCCCACUUCCUGUGUGCAGUCCUGUCCAUCCCAUCAUCAAAGCCAAGUUCCUUUGCACCACUCCAGGGCAGAGCUGCAGUGAUUCUGGUCCAUGAGUCAAGUCAGUCACAUGGAAAGGAUGCAUUGUGGUAGUUACAUUUCAGUGAAGUACCUGCUGGAAGGAAGGCUGAGAUUUAAAGAUACUUCAAGCCGGCAUUAGCCACAGAGGAACAGGCCUAUUACCGUGGCACUGUUCUUGCUGCCAUAGAUAAAGUUGUGUCAGUGCUUGUGUUAUAAACCUCUGUUUCCAGGGGUUUACAGCCGGGCUGUAAAAAUGCAUCCCCCGUUGAAUCUGAGCCCAUAAAGGCCUGACCUGGGAAUCACAUUUUGCAUAUUUUUAUAUAAUCAUCUAUACUCAUAGCUGCACUCUUAAUAGACACACUUGUGAUCUCAUGCAGGGGCAGAGGCUCUCAAACUCCCAAUAAACAGGGACAAAUAUUUGGGUCAUUUUUAUGGGAACACAGAACAAGGAGCUCACUGCUGCCUCAUGCAGCUAUGCUUUGCAAUUUCCUGGACGUCACUUUUACAUCUCAGAUGGUCUUCUGCGUCAGAUGCCGAGUUUAAAUGCAUCUGAAGCUAGUGGAGAAGGCAUUUCUGACCAUCUCAAGUUUCCUCUCCACUCUAUGGUGUGGCAGAUUGUAUUUUCCAAAGAUGACUGCAGCAGUAUAUUGUAGCCACAUGCCCUUCUAGAACCUUGCUACUCCCAUCAAAAGCUGGAGUCUAAUUACCCUUCCCUUGAACUUGGGUGGGCUGGUGACUCACUCGUAACCAAUAAAAUAUGGCAGAAGUGCUGCUGUUUGACCUCUGAAGCUACAUCAUAAAAGAUGAUGCAAUUUCUGAUUCCUUCGAAAUAUUUGCCCAUGGACACAUGAGUUUUCCAACUGGUCUGAGGCUGCCAUGUUGUGAGGAAGCACAAAGGAACACUUGAGGAGAGGCCCUGAGAUUAUAUGUGAGACAGCUAUGCCUAGAUGGUUCAUUCAUGUAUUCCCAUUAAAUAAGUAUGAGAAGAGGCAGCAAAACGUGCACCCAGCAACUGGACUGGGUAGCUGGCCUCCUUGCCUGCCUCUGGCUACAGGAAAAUCCUUGGGUAAGUGCUCUCUCUCUCUCUGGGCCUUAACUGUAUCACCAGGUGCAUGAGUUGGACUCUAAAGAUAUUGAAGGUCUGUUCUGGUUCUACAGAUUUUGUGGUUCUCAUCUCUCUGCUUUUAUCAUUAAGAAUUAUAAUGUCUGUAUUUAAGGUAUCUUUUCAGGGGAGUCAGUGACUUUCUCUCUUAGAGUCAUCAUGAAAAGGAACUUAUAAUUUCGAUGUGAAACGUAUACAACAAGGCAAUAAUGGGAACAUGCAAAGUCCUCCACCUGUUCUUUCAUUUCUCCUUAUCUUGUUUAAGUCUUUCAUUCAAUCAACAAGUAUUUACUAAGCACCUGCUUGUAUCAAGUGCUGUUGUAGACACUGGAGAAACAGCUGCAAAUAAGGUAAGAGACACUCCUGCUCUUAUGGAGCUUACAUUUGAGCUCAUGGGGACACAAUAAACAACUCAAUAAAAAAA
rnacentral:lncRNA from 1 species